UCGACACCGUCAACUUCGACGACACCGUGGUCUUCUAGGACCGCUAAAAUAUUAGGUACGGUGAUACCUGAUGAAGUACCUGGAAAGGAUGAAAAUCACCAAGGUCCAAACAGAAUAAGAAAAUCAGAAUUUGUCGAAGGUAAAAAAGAUGAUCCUCCUAGUGGGUGUAAACCUGAAUAUCCAGAGAACCUUCAAAUGAAUUUAGAGAUAGGAUUCAAUAAAAUGGAAACACCUGAAAACACCAGUCGUGAAAACGGGGAUUCCCAAAUAGGAUGUGUACUUCCAUCGCAACCAGCAUUUAGUUUAAGCGCAGAUUCGAAUAAUUCAGAAGGGAGAUUAAAAAAACAUGUAACGGCAGAUGAUGAGGAGCAUCAAUCGCAUAGAACUCGAGACCGAGAAUUAUUAGAUUUUGACAGUGAUGACGAUGUGGCGGAUCCUAAUUAUUCAUCAUUAGAAUUAGAA